GCUGUGAUGGCCGAGUGGUUAAGGCGCUGGACUUGAAUUUCACAAGAGGUUCGAACCCUGCUCGCAGAA
rnacentral:tRNA from 1 species